rnacentral:lncRNA from 1 species
UAAAAUAAGGUUCAUAAGUCAUAAAUCCCAACACUCCCAACUCAUACAUGGAAAAAAGGACUGAAAUAAAAAAUUCACAAAGCUUAAGUUCAACAAAAGAGAAAAAGAAAGAAAGGUCAUAAAUUUAGGGAUUUUUAGUGCAAAUAUUAUAAACUAACCUAAAAACUUUAAGGAAAAUAAGUAGACGAGAGAUCAAGAAAUUUAUUGUUUAUUUUAAUAUUUAAUAUCCUACAACGAAUCUAAUAUAUU